rnacentral:lncRNA from 1 species
AGAAUUUGUCUUCAGUUCCUUCUCUUCUCUCUCAACUAAUAUUUACUGAACACUCUGUCUAAUACCAUGGUAACAGCUUGUCAUGCAUAUCUCAUUUGAUUGUCAUGACAACCUGUGGUCUAGGCAACAUUACUGUGCCCAUUUUACAAGUGAGGAAACUGAGACACAGAGAGUCAUCAGCCUGACUUGUCAGAUUAUUCUGAUGCCAGAGCUCACACUAAUGGGAGAAGGCAUUGUGAUGCACUGAUUAGACCCAGAGCCUCAAGAGAGAGACCUGGAUUCUCUUCUAGACCAUGCCAGCAGUCAAGGUAAACUCCGCCCUUUAAGAAAUGGGAAUAUUUAGCUUCACCCACUUUACAGAGAAGUUACAAGAACCCGAUCAGCUAGUAAAAUAUGGGUUUUGAAGCCCUGGGAAAAAAAAGUAGUAGU